CGCUGUCUCUUCUUCGCUGCUGGAGCUUCAGUUUCGUCCUCGUCGGUGUGCCUGCUCGUUGGUGCCGCCCUUGUAUGGUUCUUCUCUGCUGGUCGAACUUCAAUUUCUUCUCUCUUGUCGUGGUGUACUUCAUACGCGGGAUUGACGAAGAUUUAAUUUAGGUUUGCUUUAGUUUUGCGGGUUAGCUUCAAAGCUUGAUGACAUUGAAAAAUUAUUCAAGUAUUUUAGUGUAAAGUUUGGGUUUUCUUCAAGGAGAGACGUGGAAUUGAAAAGCUGGAGUGUUGGCGAUUGAGUGCUUACCAUCAGCCUGUUAGAGAAGAUGACAUGGAAGGUAUGUUGCGGGAUGCAUUUAAUAUGUGCAGUCAUGGUUUGUGAGAUCUAAGUAUUGUUCAAAAUACUCCAAAUUCGGAAGAAACAAAUAGUGAACAACAGACUGCUAUUGGAUCUUCAAAUGUUCCGAAUACACCUGACAAACUUGCAGAAAUUCAAACUAAAAGUGGUGGGACGCACAGAGGUCGAGGACGUACGCUACUUAAAGAUUUAUAUGAGUUAAAUCCUGUCGAGCGUGUCAAAGUAUCUAGAAACAAUCUUGGUCAGCCUGUUGGAUCAGAAGCUCGACUUUUAGCAGGAUAUUUGGGUAUUAUAGCAUAAAAUGCCAAUAUGUUGCCUAUCAACUACGAGUCAUGGCAUCAAAUGUCUGAUAGUAACAAAAAUGAAGCUCUCGAUAAUAUUAAGGAGAGAUUUGCUUUAGAGGUCUCGGAUAAUUAUGUCAAGAAGGUAUUGGGAAAAAAAUGGAGAGACCAUAAAAGCACUUUAAAGAAAGAAUAUUUUAAGAAAAAUAUAAGCCUCGAAGAGAAAUUGCGAAAUGUUCCACCGGGAAUGCUGAGAUACCAAUGAGAAGAUGCGGUUAGAUUUUGGAAUUCAAAGAAAGGAGAGGAUCGUGAACGAGUUGGAACAAGCAGCAGGCAAAAACAGAAAUUCACUCACACAGCUGGGUCGAAAGUUUUGCUUGUAUAGUUGAGGCCGAUGUAUUUUGAAUUUAUUAAUUGUGUCAAAUAUUUAUUACUUUCUAUUAAAUAAUAUUUUUACUACUAUAUUGUAGGAACUAUCGUCUGGUCAAAAAGUUGGACGCCUUCAGCUUUUUGACAUUACACAUAAGAAGAAAGAUGGAUCUCCUAUGACUUCUAAAGCUGCAAAAAUUAUGGAGAAACUAAAUGAUAAAAUGGCGGACUGUGAAGCGAUUGCUUCGAGUGAUAGUUCUAUUAAUGUUGACGACAUUGAUAACUGGAUUAUUAUUGAAGUUUUGGGUCCUGAAAGGCAUGGUUGGGUUCGAUUUCAAGGAUCUUUUAUUAACCCAACCUAAUAUUUUGGAUCCAGCUCGCAGCAAUACAUGCCUUCGAGGAGUUAGGCUCAAGCUGAAGUUCAGAGGUUAAGAGAUCAGAUGGCUCAGAUGCAAGUGAGCACAGUUGAGUUAAUUGCUCAACUUAAAGCGGAGGCAGCAUCGAGAGAAGCUGAGGUUCAAAGAAAAUAUGAAGAACUCUAGCUACAACUUAAA